ensembl:lncRNA
AUGCACAACUCUGACGCUGUCUCCCGCGCCAAAGGGGACACGUCUUCCAAAGAAGGGUCAUCUACUGAAGCCACCAACAUGCAGACCGCGUCACGGAUGCAGGAGGAUGCUCCAUCGGUCGCCUGUACUGAACUAUGCUCUGACGUGCACCAGUUCAGAGUCUGCCAUCCCAUCUGCCUAGCAGAUGUAUAUCCAGCCAGAAGACCUUGGCUUAAAAAGAGACUUUACGUGGCUUUGGAUUCACAAAGCGACGCCUCCCUGGCGACUCCAGAGUUUUUCCAACUGUUUGACAUAAAAACCCAGACGGUCGACUACACCAUGUCCACCUGUGUAGGGAAGAAGAAGUUGCAGGGUCACAUAGCAUCCGGCUUUGUUGUCUCCUCUUGUGACCAGAAGAGACUGUUCGAGUUACCAGACCUCAUUGAGUGUUCCUCUAUUCCCCGGAACAAAAGGCAGAUUGUCACCAGAGAAGUCGUGGAAGCCCAUCCUCACUUGCGAAAGCUGAAGAACGCCUUACCUGCUUUCUGUCCAGAUGUGGACAUUGCCCUUCUGCUUGGUGCGGACUGUCCGAACUUGUUCUAUGUGAACGACCAAGUUAAGGGACCUCCAGGGGCGCCCAUUGCUCAGCUGCUACCACUAGGCUGGACAGUUACAGGCCCAGUGUGCAUAAAUAGGAUGCACCCUCCAUCGUCGGUGGGCACUCGUCAAGCGCACGUGCUUCAAGGCAGUCGCCCCACACUAAUGCAUAGCUGUUUGAGUCAUAUCUCGGUCUAUUGUCAGGGGAUAACACCAGAGUAUUCUUCCAUCUUUGAAGUCUCCGAAAGGGAUGAAACUACAGCGCUUUCCAAAGAUGAACAGAGGUUUUUAGAGAUCAUGAACUCUCAAGUUUCCCGGAGUCCCGAGGGAAAUUGGAUAGCCCCUCUGCCUUUUAAAGCAGAAAAACCCACUUUGCCAAACAACAGGCAUGUGGCAGAAAAUAGACUCUGGUCACUGAAGAAGAAGAUGCAGAAAGACCCCAAGGUAAAGGAGCAAAUCGUUGGCUUUAUGGAAGACAUGUUCCAAAGUAACUACGCCGAGGUCUCUGAUCAAAGUGAGGUCAAUGAAGAAAACUGGUUCCUGCCUUUCCAUAAAGUCACGCAUCCCCAAAAGCCUAACAAGGUCCGAAUUGUAUUCGAUGCCAGUGCCGCAUGCCAAGGCAUUUCUCUUAAUAAUGUUUUGCUAAAGGGACCAGAUCUUUUAAACAGUUUGCUCGGAGUCAUCUUGAGAUUUAGAGAGAAAGAGUUUGCUGUUAUUGCAGACAUCCACAAGAUGUUUUACGCCUUUUUAGUUCGUCCUGAUCAUCGCAGGUACCUCAAGUUUUUGUGGUACGCGGACACUCAAAAUUUGUGUGACGUUCGGGUUUUUCAGAUGCGCGUACAUGUCUUUGGAAAUACCCCAUCUCCAGCCGUUGCAAACUACUGCCUCAAAAGAACCGCAGAUGAGUUUGGGCACCAGUUCAGUCCAGAAGUCGCCAGCAUAGUUAACCACAACUUCUACGUGGAUGAUCUUCUGGUUUCGUUUGACUCCGUUCAUCAAGCCAUCCAAAUAGUGCAUGAGCUGCAGGCUUUGUUAAAUGGUGCCAACAUUCGCCUGCACAAACUAUUAUCCAACAGCAGACAAAUCUUGCAAGCCUUUCCCUCCGAAGACUUAGCGGAAAGCAAUGUUAAUACAGAAUUGCCCGAGUCCGUUCCAGAGGUGAAAGUUUGCAAGAUGACCACAGAAAUCAAGAUGGGCCAAAGAUCUUGCCUGGAACCACACCGUUUUGAAUGUUUUUCGGAGUGGCACAGUCUUCUUAGAGCAGUUGCUAGGCUUAUACAUUGUUUAGCUUGCAAAGAUAGUGAGCCUUUACAGGUCCAGGAUAUGAUAAAGGCUAAGAGCGUCAUAUUCAAGUCAGUACAGAGAUCUGCUUUCAAGCAGGAAAUAGCUAGGCUAGAGCAAGGGCUCAACAUCCCUAAUCAAAGUCUUCUAAAUGAGUUAAACCCAUUUCUAGACAAGGAGGGUAUUUUGAGAGUUGGAGGAAGGUUAGCCAAAGCUAAACUCAAGGCGUGCAUAAAAAACCCCAUCAUCAUACCCCCUAAUAGUCACACUGCAUUGCUGCUCGUUCGGCAUCACCAUGAAAGGAUCCAUCAUCAGGGUAGAACUCUAACUGAGGCAGCCCUUAGAAAUGAAGGUCUGUGGGUAGUUAAUGCCAAAAGGUUGGUCAACAGUUGUAUUUUCAAAUGUGUUAAAUGCAGGCGCCUUAGGCGAAACUGUCAAAGUCAGUUGAUGGCAGAACUACCUCAGGAUAGGACUUUGACAGACCCACCCUUUUCCCAUGUGGGAAUCGAUGUGUUUGGUCCUUGGGAGGUUGUCACUAGGAAAACCAGGGGUGGUGUUGUAAAUAACAAGAGGUGGGCAGUUUUGUUUACUUGUUUAGUAAUACGAGCUGUCCAUAUAGAAGUCAUAGAAGGGAUGGACACUUCAUCAUUUUUAAACGCAUUAAAAAGGUUCAUAGCCCUCAGAGGGCCAAUUAAGUCAAUUCGGUCGGACUGUGGCACCAAUUUUGUAGGUGCGACCAAAGAACUCAAUUGUGUGUCUAGGUUUGGGAGAGACCCAAAGGUUCAGAACUUUACGAAUACUGAACAAAUUAUGUGGACUUUCAAUGUUCCUCACGCCUCCCACAUGGGUGGUGUUUGGGAGAGGAUGAUUGGUAUUAGUCGCAAAAUCCUUAAUGCCAUGCUUUUGAGUCAUAGGUCAUUGACGCAUGAUGUUUUGGUGACACUUAUGGCGGAAGUUACCGCAAUUAUCAACAACCGGCCGCUGGUUCCCCUUACCAGUGACCCUGAGAACUUACAACCACUGACUCCUGCACUUAUUUUGACACAAAAGGUGCCAGGAUGGAAGGACAUCAUGUUGCCAGUUCCGGACGGAACCCACCGUGCCCUGUGGAAACAGGUGCAGUCCUUGGCCAACCACUUUUGGAAAAGGUGGAAAGCUGAGUACUUAAGCCAGCUUCAAGCUAGAAGAAUCUGGCAAAGCCCACAGGACAACAUUGAGGUUAACAACGUUGUGUUGUUAAAGGACAAAGACUUGCCCCGCCAUGCAUGGCCCAUGGGCAUUGUAUUAAAGACCUUUCCUUGCCCGGAUGGUAAGGUCAGGAAAGUUCAAUUAAAGACUUGCAACAGAGACAAAGUGUCCAUUUUGGACAGACCAAUUAGUGACCUCGUGUUGCUUAUUGGAGAUGUUUAA